CAGUAGCCACGGUAAUACGGAGGGAGCUAGCGUUGUUCGGAAUUACUGGGCGUAAAGCGCGCGUAGGCGGUUACUCAAGUCAGAGGUGAAAGCCCGGGGCUCAACCCCGGAACUGCCUUUGAAACUAGGUGACUAGAAUCUUGGAGAGGUCAGUGGAAUUCCGAGUGUAGAGGUGAAAUUCGUAGAUAUUCGGAAGAACACCAGUGGCGAAGGCGACUGACUGGACAAGUAUUGACGCUGAGGUGCGAAAGCGUGGGGAGCAAACAGGAUUAGAUACCCCAGUAGUCCCUGUCUCUUAUAC
rnacentral:rRNA from 1 species